CUGGAAAUGACAUAGGACUGCUUCUGGGGACAAUGAAAUCAUCCGGGACACCCAAAGGCUAACCCUGAAAGGAGAUAAGGAGGGGAGUGUCAUCGAAGGAAUUUAAGAAGCAGCCGCAGAAGACCAGAACCCUCGAUCCGGGGGAGCUGGCUCGUUAACUGUCGGGAGGAGAGCCUCGGAACUGUCUGGGGACGGAGCGUCGAAAUUCCACAAGUCCAAACGGUGCUAUUGGACCGGAGAGGAUUUGGUAUCAUGACACAAGGUGAAGAAAGAUAUGGGUCUUUUCCUGUGCUCUCAGAGUGAAGUUGAAUCAUGCUGUGUAGACAGCCAGCUCUGCUGUGGGGCCAUCCACUGGCUCUUUGUGCCCACGAUUUCAAAGCCCACCAUUUAUUUUCCCUACGUAGCCGAGGGAGACUCCGGUAUUAAAAUACCCCGUUCAACAAACAAGUCAGAUGACUUCCAGGGACCUGAGCAUCAGGCAAUCGAGGUGACUACACAGCAAAUUGGCAGAGUUCGGCACGUCAGAAACCCAGCUAUGGAAUGGCUUUUCCCAGAGUCACUGGGGAACCUUGUUGGAAGGCUUAAGAAAAAAAACCUGGGGCUUUACUCUAGCUUCCAGCUGAAGUUUGGAAGUUCCAAAGGAUGGUGAGAGUAAACUCAACAGAGGGAUAGACCACCUUAGCCGUGAGCCAACAUUUCCCAAAUGGAGCCCAGAUAGGAAAAGUAACUCACUUCAGGUUACGUGCUAGUUGCUACUCGAGCAAAGACGACAGUACCCAGGCUCCUGACUCCCUGACCCGUGUGUCCCUGAUUUCCAAAAUGCUGUUACAGUUCAUACAAGACGAGAAAAGAUCCUUUUUCCUUCUGUCACGACAGCUCAGCCCCUCCCAAAGGCAAAAGUUCAUUUGUGUUUUUUUUUAAAGCCUUGGUGACAGGUAACCCUGACUUCCGGGCAGCAAAGUAAGUCAUGAUCUGGACACCCAAAGAGGAGGUUUGCUACUUUCACAGGCAUUUUGAAGGCGUCAGUAGCUUCUUCAAAUUUGCAUAUGCCGCAUGCGUUGUCAAUAAAUUCACGUUUUCCUUUGUGCA
rnacentral:lncRNA from 1 species